UACGGGGGGGGCAAGCGUUGUUCGGAAUUACUGGGCGUAAAGGGCUUGUAGGUGGCCAACUAAGUCAGACGUGAAAUCCCUCGGCUUAACCGGGGAACUGCGUCUGAUACUGGAUGGCUUGAGUGUGGGAGAGGGAUGCGGAAUUCCAGGUGUAGCGGUGAAAUGCGUAGAUAUCUGGAGGAACACCAAUAGCGAAGGCAGCUCGCUGGGACGUUACUGACACUGAGGCGCGAAAGCGUGGGGAGCGAACAGG
rnacentral:rRNA from 1 species